rnacentral:rRNA from 1 species
AGCGAAAUGCGAUAAGUGGUGUGAAUUGCAGAAUCCCGUGAAUCAUCGAGUUUUUGAACGCAAGUUGCGCCCAAGGCCAUCAGGUUAAGGGCACGCCUGCUUGGGCGUUGUGCAUUGCAUCUCUCCUAUCAAUUCUUGUCUAGCUUAUAGUUAGGCUGGUGUUGUGU